GAUGAAGAACGUAGCGAAAUGCGAUAAGUAAUGCGAAUUGCAGAAUUCAGUGAGUCAUCGAAUCUUUGAACGCACAUUGCGCCCUGUGGUAUUCCGCAGGGCAUGCCUGUUCGAGCGUCAUCUCAACCCUCAAGCCCCGCUUGGUGUUGGGCCCCGCCCGCCGUGGCCGGCCCUAAAGACAGUGGCGGCGCCGCCUGGCCCUCAGCGUAGUACAGCUCUCGCUCCAGGGUCCGGCGGCCGCCUGCCAGAACCCCCCCAACUCUGUGGUUGACCUCGGAUCAGGUAGGGAUACCCGCUGAACUUAAGCAUAUCAAUAAGCGGAGGA
rnacentral:misc_RNA from 1 species